ACUACUUCGCUAACUAACUAGAAAAAUGAUUGAUAUCCACUUUUAAUUUUACGCAUGCUUUCUCAUCGCUUGGGACGCUAGCGUCGCACCAACUGUCCAAUGGUAACAAUUUUCACAGCAGUGAGCGUCGCGACUGUAUAUGCUAGACUGUGGUACGAUCAUGUCAGGAUGUAUUCACACUGUCCGUCACUUUACGUCCUGUAAAUUCGCUUACAUCUAUCGACAGCUAUACCUCCGCGAAUCACUUGGAAGUGCGUAGCAGUCAGUACAUCCCAUUGUACCAGUUAAUUGGACUUUUUCCUGUUCCAUUCACGCGUGGAUGGAAUGAUUGUUUAAAUGCCUCUGUGCACGCUGUAGUAAAUAUAUCUUGUCCUCACAGUCGCUAUGGGAAAGGACAGUGGGUGAUAAAGUGAUUGCGGCGGUUCCUUACUUGGUCAUUGCACAUGCCGCUAACAAUGGAAAUCAAAAUCAACGGAAAAGGAAACGAUAGUGGAAGAGAAGAAUGUUCGAAGAAGGUCCACGAACGAGUAUACUAGGAGAUCUAGCAGCAGAUGAUGGUAAAUUAUUUAGUAAUUUUACAAGAAUGUCCAGUGAAGACUUCAGUUAUUUACUUCAGUUGACUACACCUCUUAUUCUAAAAAAAAAAAAAAAAAAUUACCAAUUGCCAAGACAGUAUUUCACCAAGAAUUCGACUGGCCAUCGCACUGCGUUUCUUAUCCACUGGGGAUUCGUACAAGUCACUGAUAUAUUUAUUCAAAGUAUCAUAUUCUGCUAUUUCCCUCACAGUGCCAGAAGAUUGUGAACUACUUCAUUAGUGUUGAAGAAUUACAUAAAGAUUCCAAAGGACACUGAAGAAUGGAAGAAUGUUGCCAGAAAUUUCGAAGUUAAGUGGAACUUCCCUCACUGUGUAGGAGCCAUAGAUGGCAAACAUGUGCAAAUUAUAUGUCUUGCCAAUACUGGAAGUUAAUAUAUAUACUACAAAAAAACAUUUAGCAUCGUCCUUAUGGUCACUGCAGACGUAAAUUACUGCUUUCAAUAUGUACAUGUUGGUUGUCAGGGACGCAUAUCAGAUGGAGGAGUUUUUAAGAACACUUCGUUUCAUAAAGCAUUAAUGAAAAAUAAAUUAAACAUUCCUCCCCCAGAAACUCUUCCAGGGAAAGAAAAUUUGGCACCAUAUGUUUUAGUAGCGGACGAGGCAUUUCCAUUGACCACAAAUAUAAUGAAACCGUAUGCUGGUCAGUUGCCAAAGUCAGAGGAGAGAAUAUUUCAUUACCGACUGUCUCGCGCACGACGAAUUGUCGAAAACGCUUUCGGAAUAAUGUCCUCUGUUUUUCGAGUGUUUAGGAAGCCAUUGUUAAAGUUGAGAACGCUGAAAUAGUUACAAAAGCUUGCACGCAUCUCCAUAAUUUUUUAAGCAAAGUGCAACGUUCAGAACCAUUUAUUCCCCUCCAAAUAGUUUGGGUACAGAAGACGUAAAAAUGGUGUAAUUAUUCUUGGAGAGUGGAGGCAAGCUACUCGCAACUAUACAGGCUUAAAGAAUUAAUUAAAAAACCUUGAAGACCUUUCUGUGAUGCACAGGCAGUACGAGAGGAAUUCAAAGAAUAUUUUAUGACACCACAUGCAAAGGUUGAAUGGCAAGAUAGGUAUCAUUUGUGUUAUCAUCCUGCGCCAAUGUAUAUUAAUUAUGU